AAAUAGUUGCGUUAGCGAUUGAAACGGCAUUCUUUUUGCCUUUUCGCAAAAAGAUAUAGUGUAAAGCGCGACCUUUA
rnacentral:sRNA from 1 species